rnacentral:rRNA from 1 species
AUCUGGCUCAGGAUUAACGCUGGCGGCGUGCCUAAUACAUGCAAGUCGAAUGGUAGCAAUACCAUGGCGAACGGGUGAGUAACACGUAGGUAACCUGUCUUUAAGACGAGGAUAACCGUUGGAAACGACGGAUAAUACUCGAUAGGUAAUUUUAGGGCAUCCUAGGAUUAUUAAAGAUUUAUCACUUAGAGAGGGGCCUGCGGCGCAUUAGCUAGAUGGCGGGGUAAUAGCCCACCAUGGCGAUGAUGCGUAGCCGGACUGAGAGGUUGAACGGCCACAAUGGAACUGAGAACGGUCCAUACUCCUACGGGAGGCAGCAGUAGGGAAUUUUCGGCAAUGGGCGAAAGCCUGAACCCGAGCAACGCCGCGUGAACGAAGAAGUAUUUCGGUAUGUAAGGUUCUUUUAUUGGGGAAGAAAAAUAUCCAAAUUGACGGUACCCAAUGAAUAAGCUCCGGCUAACUACGUGCCAGCAGCGGC